AUUGAACGCUGGCGGCAGGCCUAACACAUGCAAGUCGAACGAGUGGCGGACGGGUGAGUAAUGUCUGGGAAACUGCCCGAUGGAGGGGGAUAACUACUGGAAACGGUAGCUAAUACCGCAUACCAUCGGAUGUGCCCCGAUGGGAUUAGCUAGUAGGUGGGGUAACGGCUCACCUAGCCGACGAUCCCUAGCUGGUCUGCGAGGAUGACCAGGCACACUGGAACUAAGAGACGGUCCAGACUCAUAAGGGAGGCAGCAGAGGGGAAUAUUGCACAAUGGGCGCAAGCCGGAUGCAGCCAUGCCGAGUGUAUGAAGAAGGCCUGCGGGGUGUAAAGUACUUUCAGCGAGGAGGCGUUACUCGCAGAAGAAGCACCGGCUAACUCCGUGCCAGCAGCCGCGGUAAUAC
rnacentral:rRNA from 1 species